GAGUUUGAUCAUGGCUCAGAGCGAACGCUGGCGGCAGGCUUAACACAUGCAAGUCGAGCGGGCGUAGCAAUACGUCAGCGGCAGACGGGUGAGUAACGCGUGGGAACGUACCUUUUGGUUCGGAACAACCCAGGGAAACUUGGGCUAAUACCGGAUAAGCCCUUACGGGGAAAGAUUUAUCGCCGAAAGAUCGGCCCGCGUCUGAUUAGCUAGUUGGUGAGGUAAUGGCUCACCAAGGCGACGAUCAGUAGCUGGUCUGAGAGGAUGGUCAGCCACAUUGGGACUGAGACACGGCCCAAACUCCUACGGGAGGCAGCAGUGGGGAAUAUUGGACAAUGGGGGCGAACCCUGAUCCAGCCAUGCCGCGUGAGUGAUGAAGGCCCUAGAGUUGUAAAGCUCUUUUGUGCGGGAAGAUAAUGACGGUACCGCAAGAAUAAGCCCCGGCUAACUUCGUGCCAGCCGCCGCCGUAAC
rnacentral:rRNA from 1 species